UGUUCUACACAGUACACGGUUAACGGUUUUUAAUACCAUUUUUUCUUCCGUUUGUGAAACGUUAUUCGAUUUUGCUUCCAAUAUUUUGUUUUGUUUCAAAAUUGCUUCCGUCCCUUAACUACUUAGUUUUCCUUGCUUCCAAUUUCUAUCACGUUAUUUGCAUCGUUUUACUUCCGCGAAUAGUUCGCCAAAGGUUAACGUGAGUGCCGAGUCAAGAUCGCCGUUCGUCUCCUUAACACGUCGGAUUCAGCCGAAGCCCUCAAGAGAAAAGUUGCAAUGUAUGCGACAAGUGUGGCAAGACGUACACGCACAGGUAUACGCUGCGCAGGCACAUCAACUACGAAUGCGGUGUCCAGCCACGCUUUCAGUGCCAAGUCUGCUUGAAGAAGUUCAAACAAAAGUCCAAUCUCAAAUCACAUUACAUCACUUGUCAUUUGAAUUAAUUAUACUUUUUUUAUUUAGUUAUUAAAUUUUUUGAAAUAUUUUUUCUUUAA